GACCGAAGAUCUCGAAAGAAAGGUGGGCCGACUAAUGAGACAGGUGGAGGAGCUGUCAGUCCGUCAAAGAUUUUGUUUGGGGCGAUUUCAUGCUUCCGACGAUGAUAUAAGGUUCUACACUAGGUUCAUGACUUACAGGCAUUUAAUGAGUUUCUAGAAACUCAUUGAACCUGCAUCCCACAAAAUGAUUCGUUUGACCAGAGCAAGAGCAAAUACAAUGUGGAGUGAAGCUGAAACAAGAGACAGUACAUGGGGUCAGUCCCUGCAGCCCAUUGAUGAGUUCUUCCUCUUCAUGAUCAACCUCUCAGUUGGCCAAACACAGCGCGAUCUGUCCCACAGAUUCAAGAUUCAUCAGUCUACAGUUAGCCGAAUUAUUACAACCCGGGCCAAUUUUU